UCAGGCCUAACACAUGCAAGUCGAGGGGUACAGUAGCAAUACUGGGGACCGGCGCACGGGUGCGUAACGCGUAUGCAAUCUACCUUUUACAGGGGGAUAGCCCAGAGAAAUUUGGAUUAAUACCUCAUAGUAUAUAUCAUUCGCAUGUUUGGUAUAUCAAAGUUCCAACGGUAAAAGAUGAGCAUGCGUCCCAUUAGUUAGUUGGUAAGGUAACGGCUUACCAAGACGAUGAUGGGUAGGGGUCCUGAGAGGGAGAUCCCCCACACUGGUACUGAGACACGGACCAGACUCCUACGGGAGGCAGCAGUGAGGAAUAUUGGUCAAUGGACGCAAGUCUGAACCAGCCAUGCCGCGUGCAGGAAGACGGUCCUAUGGAUUGUAAAGUGCUUUUGUACGGGAAGAAACACUCCUAC
rnacentral:rRNA from 1 species